GGUCGAUUAGCUCAGUUGGUUAGAGCGCCGUACUAAUAACCCCCACGUUGGCAGCUGGUGAACAUGCGGAUGUCAUGGGUUCGACCCCCAUAUUGACCA
rfam:Puccinia sorghi strain RO10H11247 Scaffold_1360, whole genome shotgun sequence.